rnacentral:rRNA from 1 species
GUGUCAGCAGCCGCGGUAACACGGGGGGAGCAAACGUUGUUCGGAAUCACUGGGCGUAAAGGGCGCGUAGGCGGCCCCGUAAGUGGUGUGUGAAAUGCCCUGGCUCAACCAGGGAAUAGCGCUCCAAACUGCGGGGAUUGAGGACAGUAGAGGAAGCUGGAAUUCCAGGUGUAGCGGUGAAAUGCGUAGAUAUCUGGAGGAACACCGUUGGCGAAGGCGAGCUUCUGGGCUGUUCCUGACGCUGAAGCGCGAAAGCUGGGGGAGCAAACAGGAUUAGAUACCCCAGUAGUCC